GCAGAUCGGGGCGUGCCUCAACGUGGGCGGAGUUAAACGUUGAGCUCCGCCCGCAUAGCGCAGUUGAACUGUCGAAGAAGAAGAAGAUUGUAUUAGAGAAGAAGAAGAAGAAGUUUCCAAAAUGGAGAGAAUAGAGCACGUGUUUGCUGCAAACAGCCAUGUCAUUGCCACAUGGUUUCCACCAUCAUCCACAAACCCCAUGGAUCACCUGCUGGUAAUUUGUUAAAAAGUUUUGCUUUUGUAGUGGAGUUUGAGCAUUUCAUAUUCAGUUAUUGAUAUCUUUUUACAGGACAAUGCAGCCAGUCUCCAGUGGGUUCAGCUUCCAGUAUUUGUACCUGGACACUGGAUACUCUGCACAUUGCUCACAGCCUAUCUCCUGGCCCUUGGAGGCAGCUUGGUGUGAAUGAUGUUCAGGAAAACAUGCUGCAGAUUAGAAGAUGGUGGUGUCUUGUUCUCCUGCAGAACUUCCCCAUGCUAUCUGAAGAAGAGAGAUUGCAGCAAAGAAAAAGGCAACAAGAGAAGAAAAAAACUACAGGAUGUGGCUGAAGUCCCCCUGAAAAAGUUUAGGCUUUGGGAAUCUGCCCCUGAAGCAUCAGGUAUUGUUCCAGCCAGCAUUGUCUCACACAUAUCCAUCGAGGUUGUUGAGGUUCGAUGUCACAGAGCAGUCAUUAUUUCUCUGUGUACUUAAAAUCAACCACUUAAAUCUUGCAUUGUCAUUGUGCCUGUAGACACCACAAUCUGUUUCCUUUCUAGAUGAGGCUGAGAACAGGACUGGGAACAGGAAACGGGGAGAAUCCUUUGGUCAGGGAUGCAAUGGCGGCAGCCCGGUGGUGUGGGACCAGAACUUUCGAGGGAAAAAUUUUCCUUCCCCAAGUUGUUACCAUGGCCAAGGAGCAACGCGUGAGGGCAGUGGAACUCCUUUAUGUCUGUGAUGACCAGGAAGAAGAGGAGACCGCUGAUCUCAGAGAACCGUUCCUUUUUCUUUUUAGUCUGCAGGAAGACUAUGAGACAUUCUGUCAAGAAAUCGUUGACAGGAGAAACAUGAAGGUGUUUUGUGCUUUUGACAGAAAAGAAUAAAGUUGUGUUCAACGGUG